rnacentral:rRNA from 1 species
GAUCCUGGCUCAGGAUGAACGCUGACAGAAUGCUUAACACAUGCAAGUCGAUGGGGAAGGCUGAGCUUGCUCAGCUGGUAACCAUGGCGGACGGGUGAGUAACGCGUAAGGAACUUACCUGCGGGACUGGGAUAACGGAGGGAAACUUCUGACAAGACCGGAUAAAGUUACUGGGCAGCAUUGUUUGGUAAUGAAAGGAGACGCCUGCGGAGAGUCUUGCGUCCUAUUAGCUAGUUGGUUGGG